GAUGAACGCUAGCGAUAGGCCUAACACAUGCAAGUCGAGGGGCAGCAUAGAGUAGCAAUACUUUGAUGGCGACCGGCGCACGGGUGAGUAACACGUAUGCAACCUACCUACAUCAGGGGGAUAACCCGGAGAAAUUCGGACUAAUACCGCAGAAUACAGGGAUGCCGCAUGGCAAUAUUUGUUAAAUAUUUAUCGGAUGUAGAUGGGCAUGCGUUCCAUUAGCUGGUUGGUAAGGUAACGGCUUACCAAGGCAACGAUGGAUAGGGGAACUGAGAGGUUUGUCCCCCACACUGGAACUGAGACACGGACCAGACUCCUACGGGAGGCAGCAGUGAGGAAUAUUGGUCAAUGGACGAGAGUCUGAACCAGCCAAAUCGCGUGAAGGAAGACUGCCCUACGGGUUGUAAACUUCUUUUGUACAGGAAUAAAAGACAUUACGUGUAAUGUAUUGCAUGUACUGUACGAAUAAGCAUCGGCUAACUCCGUGCCAGCCGCCGCCGUAA
rnacentral:rRNA from 1 species